rnacentral:rRNA from 1 species
UGCAGUCGACGAUGAACCACUUCGGUGGGGAUUAGUGGCGAACGGGUGAGUAACACGUGGGCAAUCUGCCCUUCACUCUGGGACAAGCCCUGGAAACGGGGUCUAAUACCGGAUAUGAGCCUGGGAGGCAUCUCCUGGGUUGUAAAGCUCCGGCGGUGAAGGAUGAGCCCGCGGCCUAUCAGCUUGUUGGUGAGGUAAUGGCUCACCAAGGCGACGACGGGUAGCCGGCCUGAGAGGGCGACCGGCCACACUGGGACUGAGACACGGCCCAGACUCCUACGGGAGGCAGCAGUGGGGAAUAUUGCACAAUGGGCGAAAGCCUGAUGCAGCGACGCCGCGUGAGGGAUGACGGCCUUCGGGUUGUAAACCUCUUUCAGCAGGGAAGAAGCGAAAGUGACGGUACCUGCAGAAGAAGCGCCGGCUAACUACGUGCCAGCAGCCGCGGUAAUACGUAGGGCGCAAGCGUUGUCCGGAAUUAUUGGGCGUAAAGAGCUCGUAGGCGGCUUGUCACGUCGAUUGUGAAAGCCCGAGGCUUAACCUCGGGUCUGCAGUCGAUACGGGCUAGCUAGAGUGUGGUAGGGGAGAUCGGAAUUCCUGGUGUAGCGGUGAAAUGCGCAGAUAUCAGGAGGAACACCGGUGGCGAAGGCGGAUCUCUGGGCCAUUACUGACGCUGAGGAGCGAAAGCGUGGGGAGCGAACAGGAUUAGAUACCCUGGUAGUCCACGCCGUAAACGGUGGGAACUAGGUGUUGGCGACAUUCCACGUCGUCGGUGCCGCAGCUAACGCAUUAAGUUCCCCGCCUGGGGAGUACGGCCGCAAGGCUAAACUCAAGGAAUUGACGGGGGCCCGCACAAGCGGCGGAGCAUGUGACUUAAUUCGACGCAACGCGAAGAACCCUUACCAAGGC